rnacentral:rRNA from 1 species
UACGUAGGGACCGAGCGUUGUCCGGAAUCAUUGGGCGUAAAGAGCGUGUAGGCGGCCACUUAAGUCCUGCGUGAAAUCUUGCGGCUCAACCGCAAGCGGUCGUGGGAAACUGGGUGGCUAGAGUGCGGGAGAGGAGAGUGGAAUUCCUGGUGUAGCGGUGGAAUGCGCAGAUAUCAGGAAGAACACCCGUGGCGAAGGCGGCUCACUGGCCCGGUACUGACGCUGAGGUGCGAAAGCGUGGGGAGCAAACAGG